rnacentral:rRNA from 1 species
UACGUAGGGUGCGAGCGUUAAUCGGAAUUACUGGGCGUAAAGCGUGCGCAGGCGGUUAUGCAAGACAGAUGUGAAAUCCCCGGGCUCAACCUGGGAACUGCAUUUGUGACUGCACAGCUGGAGUGCGGCAGAGGGGGAUGGAAUUCCGCGUGUAGCAGUGAAAUGCGUAGAUAUGCGGAGGAACACCGAUGGCGAAGGCAAUCCCCUGGGCCUGCACUGACGCUCAUGCACGAAAGCGUGGGGAGCAAACAGG